UCUUUCCUUCCUAUGGGUCCAUUUUUCUCGAUUUUUUUGUGUGCUUUUGAUGGAUUUUUGUCAACUUUCAUGGAAGAAUAAAUGGAGGAUAUUUCUUGUAUACUUUUGUCCUUUGUCUAACUGUUUGGUCCCUGACAAUUGGUGUCAGGAGAGGGAUCCAUCCAGUUAAGGACAUUAGUAUUUAUUCAUUUUUUGGUUAAAAUGAAAGGAGGUAAAGGCAAGUUAGCCCCUGUAGAUAGGGAAGAACAAACAGACCAUGAGUAUUGUGAAGCGGCUGAUGGUGAAGAUGAUGGACAGGGGAGAGAGCCGACUAUAUCUGAUCUGGCGAAUAUCCUUCAAGCCCAUAUUGGUCAACAGAAAACUCGAGAGGAACGAUGGGAGAAGGAGAUGGAACGUCAGGACCACAGGUUUAAGGCUCUCCAGCAUCAGUUCAGUUUAUUUCAAAUGGAGGUGCAGACAUACCCUUCUAUAGGCCUGAGGCCUGUAGUACAAGACCCCACCCACUCCUCUGCAGGCUUGAGGCCUGUGUCUCAGGAGAGGCUGAAGAGGAUUUAGACCGUUUGCCACCGGAAUCGGCGCCCUCUUCGGUUAAACCAGGUGACUCUAUACCUAUCCCUUUCUCUAAAGUACCAAAAUUGCAGAAGUUAAGUGAUGAUGAUGACGUUGAACACUUCCUUAUAACUUUCGAAAGGAUAGCAUGUGUUUGCAGAUGGCCUAAACAUGACUGGGAAUUUCACUUGAUUCCACUCUUAACUGGGAAAGCCAGGAGUGCGUAUGUACAUAUGGAUGUGGAUGAGUCAAUGAACUAUGAGUGUGUUAAGGCUGCCAUUUUACAGAAAUGCGAAAUUAAUAGCGAGAUCUGUCGUCAGAGGCUUCGCUCUCUCCAGGUGGAACCAAAUGAGUCUCCCAGGGAGCUCUAUGUGAAACUCAAGGAGCUUUAUGGGAAGUGGGUCCAGCCCCAAGGUAAGACUGUUGAAGAAAUUAAUGAAAUUAUAAUUCUUGAGCAGUAUUUCCGGAUGUUGUCUCCAGAACUUCAAGUGUGGAUUAAGGAACGAAAUCCAAAAGAUGCAGCAGAGGCGGUUUUGUUGGCAGAUGCAUUUGUAUCAGCACGUAGGAAGAGCCAACCAUGUGCCUUUAAAGCAGCAAAAUGGGAUUUUACACCGACCCCAGGUAACACCGGUUCAAUUGAAACUGUGGGUAAGCAGUCGGGAAAGGGGAAAUGGGGAUUCUCAAGUCAAAUAAAACCCCUGAAAAAACCCCUAUGCUAUUUGUAUGGUCAAGAAGGCCACACAAAACCAAUGUGUCCUCAAAAUCCUGCCAAAUUCUCACAGAUGUGCUUUGUACCCAGAGAGAACCAUGUAUUAACUAAACAAAAGCAGCCGUGGGUGGAGACUACUGUGGAGAUCUUGUACUUCGCAGGUAUGUUCCGUCAAAUAAGAUUUGCACCUCGGAAACGUUACCCAUCUGCUGUGUUCAUGGAGAUGAAAAACAUUAUCCCACAGCAGACAUUUAUAUAAAGGUGCAAGGACAUGUCUACCUGCUGAAUGUGGGGGUCAUGGAUAAAUUACCGUUUCCUUUAGUUUUGGGAAAUGAUCUCCCAGUCCUCACUGAAUUGAUAAAUGCUCUGAAAAUGUGCAAUGUUGUCAUGACACGAUCUCAGUCUAAGGCUUCCAAGGAAGAUGACCCCAGCCUAAGAGCGUUACCAUUUUUUUGAGGCUGAGAUUGAAGCAGGUCCAACUAAAGAACGAAAGUCCCGUAUGCAGCGCAAACGAGACAAAUUUAGACGUAUAACAACCUCUUCUGUGUUACCUGAACCUGAUGUCCAGCUAGGCUUUAUAAUUCCUUAUAAUAUUGUGGAACUACAGCAUCAGGAUAGAAGUUUGGCUGACUUUAUUAAGAGAGCUGGAGAGGGAGGAACUGCAGAGGUAUUCUCCAUGCAAAAUGGCAUCCUAUAGGAAACAUGGAGCAGUGGAACAGCUCGUGGUACCCAAAACAGCCAGAGAGACUGUUUUAAUUUUGGGCCAUUCCAUAACCUGGGAUGGCCACCUGGGGAAACAUAAAACAAUAGCCCGUAUUCAGCAGUGUUGGAUUGCAUAACGAUGUUGCCAGAUUUUGCAGGAGUUGUCCUCAACGUCAAAAAACAUCAACCAAAGUUGCAGCAAAAGCUCCCCUUCAUCCUCUUCCUAUAAUAAAUACACCAUUUGAAUGUUUUGGCAUGGAUGUUGUGGGCCCGGUGGAGGAGAGCAAAUCAGGUGGAAGGAACUAGCUGGGGGGAGCAAAUGUGACGUGACUCCAGGAAGUGGAGGAAGCCAUCAGGCUGGUGAAAAAGGCGGGCUUAACUCUGGAGAAGCUGUCAAACUCUGAAAGCUCCAUUGUUUAAAAACUGUUGGUGUUAGAAUGUCUUAGUUUUUAUAUUUGUGUUAUGAUUUGUAAGGGUGAAUUAGUUGUUUAGGUUUAUUUAUUGUUUGUCUUAGAUGUCUUGUCCCUCCCUUCCUUGUUUCAUGUAGGCUAGCUUGUAUGUUUAAAUUCCCUUGUGUUCGGUGUAAGAAGUCAUUCUAGGUUAUGUGUUGGUUGAUUCUUUCCUUCCUAUGGGUCCAUUUUUCUAGAUUUUGUUUUGUGUGCUUUUGAUGGAUUUUUGUCAACUUUCAUGGAAGAAUAAAUGGAGGAUAUUUCUUGUA